rnacentral:lncRNA from 1 species
AAGACAUUAACCAGAGCAAUGGACACAAAUUGAGGUUAGCCCUCAACUUCAUCAACGCAAAAAUAGCAACAAGAUCGGAGCUUUACCAGUGAUCGCAGAUGAUAGCCUCGAGCAGCAACCGCAAGGUGCCGGCGAGCCGAACAACGGCGAUGGAGAUGUGUUCUGGUGAGGUCUUUUUUAUGAUGGCGCGAGGGGUGGUCUGUAGAGAAGGAGGCAGCGUUGAUGUCGACGUUAACGUUUGAGUUAGCUGGUGGUGGAGUCUUUUAUCAAUCUAAUACCUCAUUUUUUUUCUAAUUAAAUUAUAAAACAAAUAUGAUAUCUUAAUUUUCAAUUGGGUUUUUCCAACUGUUUUGAAUAUUUUGAAAAUAUAAAAGUAGUCAUACGAAUAUUAGCUAAUAUUAAUUUAAUAGUAAUUGAAUUUAAUAUUUUAUAAUAAACAUUCCAUAUGAAUUUUCAUUUUUGAUAUAAUGUAUUCACUGUUUAAUACAAUUAAUUUUACAUCCCCUUGUAACAACAAGAAAGGCUGAAUGAGAUUUAUAUUUCCUUGCAACGACAAGAGCUUCUGGAAAGACCCAACCCAUUUAGUAUCAAGAAAUUUGUAUCACAUAACAUCUAAUACAAUUUUACCUACUCAAGCUAGUUAAUUAGAUGUAGCCAAAAAAGCAUAACAAGCAAGAAUAACGACAUCAAUCAUAAAAAAUAAGAUCUUUAAUUCAUCUAAAUGCAGCUGUGCAAACACAUGUAUUAGAGCCGGUUUGUUUCUGUAUUUUAAAAGUAUUUUUAAAAAAAUUUAAAUUUUUUUAUUAAUUUUAAAUUAAUAUAUUUUUAGUGUUUUCAAAUUAUUUUAAUAUAUUGAUGUUAAAAAUAAUUUUUAAAAAAUAAAAAAACAUCAUUAAUAUAUAUUUUAAUAUGAAAAAUUAUUUAAAAAACAAUUAUAAUUACACUACUAAACAAUUUCUAAAUAUUUGUUUGCUUUUGGUGAGAGCCAAGUAGCUUCCAUCUUAAAAUUCCUCUCAGCAAUGACUACUUAAGCAAGAAUCUCAAGCUCAACAAAAACUUCUUUGUAUCUACAAAUAUUCUUAAAAAAUCAUCUUGUUUUAAGAUAAAGACAUCAAUGCCACAAAAGUUGAAAUACAGCGUGUACCUACUUUUUGUAGGUUACCCGGUUACAGACAAGACUAUUUAUCACCAAUAAAACCCAAUAUCAAAAUCAACACUCUUUCCCAUGUAAACAAUUGAAUUAACAAGCUGAUUUUGUAAUGCUCUCUUUAAAAAAUUAGAACAUUAUCAAUUAUACAACACCCUAAAUCAAUCCUUACAAAAAAAAUUAAUUUUGACACUAAGGGAUGUGUCCUGGUAGUCCUUUCCACUGCACAUGAUUCAAAUUUUAUUAUGUAUGCCUGUCAUCCUUAUAAUACCUUAUAUAUUUAUUGGAUUUACAAGAUAUUCAUAAAUCCCGAGAAUUAAUUAUGGUAUACUCCGGGUUGCCAAAAAAAAAAUUAAUUUUCUUUCCUCUAGAUAAGGUUGAAAUGAAACCCUUUAAGUCACUGGCUACAUCAAUUUCAAAAACCGAAGAAAGAAAAUCAAAAGAAGCAGCUAAAUCCAAGCAGUGAGCAAAAAUAUGAAGCAAACCCGUCUUAGAGGAGACAAAACUCAUCAAACAUACAAAACUCAAUCAGUAGAAGCAAGGUGAGAGAGAGGCUGACGAUAGAGUAGCUGCGAAGUGAGGGAGGGAGUGAUUGGUUUUUAUUUUGGAAUUUCGCUCUUCCCUUCCAGUUCCGGCUAGAUAGAGCUGAAGUGGUCGGGCACAUACAACUCCAUCAGUAGAAAUUGUUAUAGGACCGGCCCGGAUAAUGAUCCAGCCCAAACAUCAUGUCACGGGCUAAGCAAGUGGGUUAAACUGUGUUUAUUGUUUUUUUUUUUUUUCAAACAACAUGAUUUUAUAAAAAGAAAUUAUGUAAGAAGAAAAAAACCCAAAUGAUUUUGUUUUUUAUUUGAAUAAAAAAAUUAAAAACCCUUCAAACCUUAAUUUCACUAGAUCAUAUAAGUCACAAAUUAAUAGAUAAAAGGGGUGUUAGAGAGUGUGGUAGUAGUUGUUUUUUAAAGUGUUUUUCGCUUAUAAAUACAUCAAAAUAAUAUAUAUUUUUUAUUUUUUAAAAAAUUAUUUUGACACUAGCAUAUCUUAAAAUAUGUAUAAAAAAAAUAAUUUCAAAUGUAAUAAAACUAUAGUAUAAACCAAAGUCACCUAAGUUUGAUUGAUCAUUUCUAUAAAUAAUUUACUUUUGAGACCACAUAUAUAAACUAUAAAAUACACAAGACAAUGUCUUAUUUGUUGCUUGAACUUUUUUUUUUUAAAAGAAAAUAUUAUGUUUUUUUUAUGUUUUUUAAAUGUUUUUUAAUAGUUGUGAUAAUAUUAAAAAUAAAAAAGACAAUGUUUUAUUUUUUCUUUAAAUUUUUUUUUUUAAAAGAAAAUAUUAUGUUUUUUAAAUGUUUUUUAAAUGUUUUUUAAUAGUUGUGAUAAUAUUAAAAAUAAAUAAAUUUUAAUAUAAAAAAUAUCAUUUCAAAAAAUAUUAUACAUAUUAUUACCGAAUAAACAUGAGUUAAACUACAUUAGAAUGACACAAGCUCAGAAAUGAAAUUGGGCUUCUUUUUUUAACGGGAUAAGCAAUCCCCAACCCAUGGAGUUUUGCGAGAAAUAGCUAAACUUGUCUAGGUUUCAACUGGUUGGUCUUCUUCUUCUGUUUUUCUUGCUCUUCAGAGAGUUAUCAUCUUUAUUUUUUGAUGAAAGAAAAACCUUUAAUAAAAGUAUGGAACUUAAUUGUAAUAAAAGUAUAUUUCAUUCUUUAACUUCCUGCAUUCAAAGAUGUGAAUGCCAUUACCGAGCUCUCUUUUUUCUAAUCAUAUUGAUGUGAUUUUUUUAAUCAUUUAUUAAUAAAUUUGAGAAGCUAAUCAAUGCGACUAGAUUAAGUUGAAAGGUAUUUAUUGUUAUGAUUUUCUCUUGAAUGCAAAUUAUUUUUAUUUAUGUUAAUACGCCCGAAACAAGGCGAACCGUGAAGAAAUGAAAAAACUCCAGAAUCAAUCACGAGAAAAGAACCUAAAACUAUGCUAUUUGCUUAGAAGUCGGAACAUUUUUAGCAGCUUCUCCCGUAUAAACUGAUGCCUCAAAUCUGUAACAUCGUACACAAAAACAUGCUAACUGGAAAACUUUGAAGCAUCUGAAGAUGGAAACUCAAGACAUGUGAAGAUGUGCAUGUAAUUUAUGAGGUUUACAAGACAUAUUGCUAUCCUCAGUCCUCACGCCACAUCCUACCACACUUCUCAUUCAAGCAGAAGUAAAAUGUUGUUGCUGGCUCAUCAGCUGAUCUAAUUUGUAUCUGCUGGAAACAAGCUCUUCCGAAGUUGCAAUGAGGACAUGUUGCUGCAAUCAAGAAAGAAGGGAAAUUAGACAAAAAAAAUACAAAGAUUGAGAAAGAACACCAAGAAAAAAAAAAAUUCUGAGUUAGCCUUCAUCUAAAUUGCUAAAAUUGAAUUCUUUCUACACCAAUAACUGAAUUCCUCGUUUACCAUACUAAGUUAAAACUUUAGGAAUCAUUCGAAACUGUGGAAAUCGAACAUCAUGAUUUAGUCUUAUCUUGGCGAAAUAUGGACAGUAUUUCUCUCAUUGCAUUGUUAACAGGUACUGCUUAAUCUUAUAAACUCAACUCAACCCUUGCACAACCUAUAUUAAUUUUGGGAACUUGGUACCAAGCUAGUUACUUCAUUCUAAUUCAAUUCAAAAAACCCAAAACUAUUAUAAGAAAAUGCAGAAACAAAAGGAGGUAAGCAACUUAAACAAUAUCAAAGUUUUUAAAGUGGCAAAAUAUUAUAAAAAAUUCCUCCAUUCCACAACAACAGAUAAUACCAAUAACAUAAAAAGACAAAAGACAAAGAAAAGCACCAUCAGUUUCAGCACCGCCUGUCUUCAUGUCCUCGAGGGUGAAAAUAGGUUCAAUUUCUUUCUUAGCAAGCUUUUGCUUUCUCUUUAUCUUAACCUAAUCACAACAUAGCAGUUAGUCACAUCAUUCAAUCAAAAAUACAAACCUAGAAAAUAAAGAGGCCAAAUUAAUUUAUACUAAUUAAUAAUUUACCCUGCUCUCAAUCGAAGCAAAAUAGGGACAGGUAGGGCAAUAAAAUCUAGCUACUUGCCCCAUAUUUGGCGGCUCAUAUCGCAAUAGCAUCCCACAUGUUGGGCAAAAUUCCAUUUCUUUCUUCCUCGUUCUCUGAUACCCUAAUUUGACUUCUUUCUCCUAUUUUAGAAAAGUCAGAACCUUCAGGCCUGAAAACAAAACAAACAAAUAUCAACUUAGAAAAAUCUAAUUUCAAACACUUCUCAGUAACUAUGAAAAUUUCCAAAAGUAAAUGUAUUUAGGAUUAAGAUAAUAAACUAGCGUAUUACAGUAAAAUAGUAGCAUGGCAUGGCUUCUAGCAUACUUUUUCUAACUAAUUAGUUUUUUUAUAGUUAUCAACACAUGCUACUAAUUAAACCAUGAAUCCAACCCAAGGUCUAAAUCAACAAUCUUCAUUCAAACAUAGAAGAAAAAACAAUUGAACCAACAAGUUGAUUACACUUGAACAACCCACUAUCUCGUUCAAAAAAAUUCAAAACUUUCAAAACCCAGUAGUUACAAUUCAAGCUUAAAAACAAACAUCAACUUUAUAAAUACCUAAAUUUUAACCUUCCCUUUAAUGGGCCAACAACAAUCUCAUAAAUCUAGUAACUUUCUAAUAUAUAAAGGUGAAACAAGUACACUUCAAAGCUCAAAAACUGCCUAUAUCAAUGCUUGUAAUCAAUAAAAUAAGCACUUGAAAUCAAUGCUUGUGGAUAAAAAUGAACACCAUCUACAGCGGAACCGAAGUCUCUCAAGUAUAGUUCCGAGAACCAGUCCAUUCAUCAAAUCUCAAAUCAAUGUUUAUAAUCAAAGAAGGAACUAAUUCUGCCCUCAACUUUCACUCUUGUUCCAAAAUAGUAUUAAAAAAAACACGCAAUUGAGGUAACAAUGAAUAUCACUUCAAAAGAAAAAAAUCAACUCAGCCAAGGAGCAGCCGUGACAAGACAUUGACCAGAGCAAUGGACACAAAUUGAGGUUAGCCCUCAACUUCAUCAACGCAAAAACAGCAACAAGAUUGGAGCUUUACCAGUGAUCGCAGAUGAUGGCCUCGAGCAACAACUGCAAGGUGCUGGUGGGCCGAACAACAGCAAUGGAGAUGUGUUCUGGUGGGGUCUUUUUUAUGAUGGAGAGAGGGGUGGUCUGUAGGGGAGGAGGCAGCGCUGUUAGUUUUUGUGUUAGCUGGUGGUGGAGUCUUUUAUC